GGGGAUGAUCGGUUUCGACAUUGCCUGCGAAACUGCGAGAAGCGGGCCGAGGAUGCAGGGUUAUCUCGUAAACGAUCUCUGCAAAAUAUAGGUGCCAAUUCUAAGCGCACCGACUUCGCCCUAGCCGCCUAGGCUAGCUUCGAGGUCCGUCAGACCGGGUUCGCUCUCGUCCCGGACCCUGGCGCCAUUUAGAGAGCUUGCUGCGUCGUCACGCCUGAGGGCGACGCGGGACUUUUUCUCGGGCUGGGCCUGUCACCCUAGAUGCCUGUAGCAAAGGGUGGGGCCGAGUAGAACGUCUCAACAGGCUACGCCCGUAGAAGGCGCAGAAUCACAGCAGUGGACGGGGGUUCAAUUCCCCCCAUCUCCACCA
rnacentral:tmRNA from 2 species